rnacentral:lncRNA from 1 species
CAGACUCUCCUUGGUUGGGCAGGUCUUGCUGCGGCUGCUGUCAGGAAUGGGGAUGAGGUUCCUGGGUCAAUAGUGUUGUGUACCUAGGAGGAUUAUGGCUGCCUUUGCUGAGUCAUGCGGGUUGUCAGGGAAGUGGGGGAAAGCCAGCAGUCACAGGCCUCACCCAGCUCCCACGCAAUCCAAAGGGCUGGUCUCACUCCCACAGUGCCUCCCCUAACAGCACCAAAUCUGUUUCCAGGCAGUGGGCAAGCAGGGCUGAGAAUUGCCCCAGACUACCCACCUCCCAGCUGCAAAGGAAAAGGGCUCAGUUCUUCCCCCACCUGUGGAGUCUGCAUGCUGGAUUCCCGUUCUCCCCAGAGUUCUGGCCAGGAGGCUUCUUGCCUGGUUCAAAUUGUUAUGAAGUUCAGCUGGAGACUUCCUUCUCCCUGUGGCAUUUUCCCCACACCUCUAGCUGCCCUCCUGAAGGAUCCUGGUGGUGCCAGGUCUAUGCACUGAAAAUAUGCCUGUGAAGAAAGCAAUAUUUCUGUCUCCAUGGACCUUACUAUCAAACUGGAAGAGACCAAAGAUUAAUAUACAAAUAGGUGAUAAUAGAAAGUCUGAUAUGGAUUGGUGCAAUGAAGAAAAAUAAGGCAUUUAGGCUCACCAUGAUGAGACUUGCUGUCUACCUUGAAUACAUGUUUUAUGUAGGUGACUAAAGUAGCACAGCGAUUAUAUACUAGGAAACUGAUACUAUCAGAAGAAUGAUUUGUUACACAAAAUGGAAGACGUUUUGUUCACAGAACUGUGGGCCCAACCUACUACACGAGUCCUUUCAAGAGAGGAAACGUUCCUGGCUGCAGCUAGAGAGAGAUGGCAGCGUGAGGAGGCUCUGACUUGCUGCAGCUGCCCUGAAGAUACGGGAAGGGUGUCACCGGCUAUGGGGUGCUGGAGGCCUCUGGAAGUGGAUUCUCUUCUAACAACUACAGAAAAGAAUGCUGUUGUGCUGACAUUUUGAUUUUAGCCCAGUGACAUCUGUGCUGGAUUUCUGACCUACAGUACUAUAAGGUUCUCCUGUAGAACUUCCCAGGCAGAAGAAAAGAUAAUUCUAAUGGUUCUGCUGUGGAGCAGAGAGUCACAGCUUGCAUCACAGUCCACGGAUCACCAAGAGGAACCUUACUGACUACUGAAGUCAGAAAAGACAACUUCUAAGGUGCAGCUUUAAGAGUUCCUACAUCUGAUGAAAAUGUGGAAAGCUGUCCUACUGAAUUCAUAUAAGGCACUGGGAAAUUUCAGUGGUGCAGUUAAACAGGAAAUGUUUGCUGACCCCUGCCUUAGACUGUAAGUUUCAGGAAAAAAAGACUUUCUGAAUAUGUAAUUUUCUGCAUACAAUUCCUAAUCCAACUUUGUACUUAGGCCUUCUUCAAUAAAGAAUUUCGGAUGAAGUACAUGUUAUUCUGUAUGACAGUCUGUUGUUUCCAAGAGAAUAAUAACAAGCUGUCCUUGAAAAGAAUGGCUGGUGAUGGAAUUAGCUCUAGAGAAUUUAAGGUAGUAUUUGCCAAGAAAGAAGGUCAGUCUGAUAUUGUGUCAAACAUAUCCUUUAUUAACCUGAAUAAGUAAAUAUAUGAAUAAGUAAAUAUACCUAAUAAAUUACGAAGUGCUUGGUGAGUUACCUGACCAUUGUUUUUAAAUGUUCUCAUUAGCAUUUCUUGUCUGUAAUAAAUGAUUUUAAAUUUCGUGUUUCUCCGAAAUGGUAUUUUAAAUUCCCUGAAAGAAAUAUUCUCAAUUUUUCAUGGGAGAGAAUGGCUAGGAAAUUCUUUUUCAUAACUGUGAUCUAGCUUGUGUACUCAGGUAACUGAUAAAGUAAUGGAUCAGUCAUCUAUAGAAUACAUGCCUAUUCCAAAGUGGUUACUGCUGUAUGUCAUGGCAUCUGUAAUUGGCCUAAAAAGCGAUAAAUCUGUUUUUGUAAAGUAACCCAAAAGACCCCAUUAAAAGUGGUAUUUUAAAUGUCAGUGAGCAUGUAUUCUAUUUAAUUUAUGUUAAUAGGCCAUAAAUGGGAGAAAAUUGAUGAAAAAUAUUACCUUUUCUGCAUGUUAAAACUCAGGAGUAAUUAUUUUUCAUUUUUCACUUAAGGAUAAGCAGGUGUUUAACACAACAUUAAAUAAAUGCCUCAGUACCACAAGGUGAUAAAUGUGUAACAUUUAACAGAUGAGUAAAUUAAAAUUGUGUCUAAAACAGCACAAACAAGAAAAAAUUUAAAUAUGAGUACACACACAGUAUAUAACAUGGUGUGACACCACUUACCUACAAAGCAGGAGACUUAGACAUGCCAGUUUACACCUGAAAUGGCUUAAACCUUCCCC